rnacentral:lncRNA from 10 species
UGGCGUGAUCUCGGCUCACUGCAAGCUCUGCCUCCCAGGUUCACGCCAUUCUGCCUCAACCUUCCGAGCAGCUGGGACUACAGGCAUGAGCCACCACGCCUGGCCAAAGUUGCCAGAUAGAAUACAAAUGACAUUCACAUGUAAUAUCUGGAAAAACAUGUAACUCUAGAAACAAGCAUCUUAAUCAAGCUCAGCUGCUGACUGAUGUGAGAAAUCCAUUCUAGACUAUUUUAGAGCACGACAAUGCUCGUUCCCAGAGUACUCAGUUAUUUGUAACUCUGGUAUCUGGGCAGAAAUUUCUAUAAAUACCAAACUCAAUAUGUGUCUUCCAAAGCUGAAACUGCAAUAUUACGCAAGAGUUCAAUACCAACUUUUAACAUCAGGUCACUCUAUUAAGCCAUCAAAGUGUAGCUGAACUACCUAGCAACAAAGAUA